rnacentral:sRNA from 1 species
GGCCAAUGGAACGCCAUGCUGGGCUACUUGUCAGCGCUGUGCCAGGCUUGUGCCUAUCCUGGCGGCGACGGCCUGGAGCUCGUGGUCAUGUUCCCGGGGGGCCUGGGCAAGGACCGGCUGGCCGAGUGGGGCCGUCGGUGCCAGGCCGAGCGGCAGACAGCGCAACUGAUCGUGGGACACGUGGGCAACAAGGGCACCCCUCCACCGCGGGCCUGGUUCCUGCCACCGGCCUGCCUGAGCCACUGCGUGAGGCUAGCACUCAUCCGCUUCCGGGUCAAGCCUUUCUCAGUGUUUAGAGUAUGAAAGAAGAGCUACAAUGGAGAUUCUGAAUUACUGUGCCAUGGUACUGAAAAUGAAGCAUGAUGUCAUUGAAAUGCCGAAUUCUACAAAUACCUCGGAAGUAGUUACCGAAAUAUAAAAAACACUAUGCCAAACUUCUGUGUUUGGAAAUGCCUACAUUUCUAAACAGCUGUUUUCCAUUAUGAAAUAGGAUCAAAUUAGUCACUUGAAGUGAAAGCAUUCAAGGCUCAAUUCUGUACUGCAUGUUGUAACAAAAAUAUAAGACCUAACAUUGACCUCUUGGCACAUAAAUGUGUCAGGCCACCAGUUCCAAGUCAAAGGAGAAUAAACAAA